UUGUAUGCCGGAAGGGAUAAAUCUGGGGCUGAGUACAAGCAAAACAAGACCAAAGGAAGCUACCUGAGCAGGUAUUCCAGAUACUCAUGUCAUACACCAAGGUUGUACCAGUGCCCCUUUCUCUGUGACACAUCCAUCCACUGGAAACUUUCGUACAACUAGCUGAAAGAAGAGAAACAUCCUAUUUCAUGUCACUGGAGCCCUAAUGAUCGCAGCCAUUUCAGGAAAUGCCAUCAAUUACAGUGAGGAGCUCAUUCAGAAGUGAAAGAUGAGUUCCAUUCUCUGUUACUUAGAGAUGUCAAGGAACUUUCCUCCUGAUUGAUUUUCUACAUGCUUUAUCUCUCAUCCAUCUAGUCCCCAUUUUCUCCUUUCACUGAACACAAUUAUUUCUGGAAAGAGUAUUACACUCAGUAUUCUGCAUUUCAUAUGGCAUUUCAAAGUCCUGAGAAUGACUCUCCGUAGUCUUCUAUGUACUAAUUAAACAUGAACAUGUGGUAAACAACAUGGACUAUUCCAGUGGACAGAAAGCGUCAAGUUAAAAUGUUUAAGUGCCCCAUAUUUUUCUAAGUAUUCUUAUCCAGUUGGUCUGACUGGUCAUUAUCUGUUUUGUAAAACUUCCCAAACAACUCAUCAAUAUUUAAAUAGCUAUCCAAAUUAUAAACUUCAAAUAGCAGAAUCCAAAUGUCAUUUAUGCAUAAUUCAAAAGAACUUUGCUGAAAACAAUCUUUGGAUUACAAUUGCUCUCUAAUCCACCUCUUGAAUUUCUACAUAAGAAUUCAAUGCCAAUGCAAUUCAAAUCAAUUCAUUCAUGGUUGAUGUUAAAACUUCCUUUAAGAGGAUAGUAUGGCAGAAACAAAACUGAAUUUGAACAAGAGGGAAACUGCAGAAGAUAAACAUUUUUUCUGUAGAAAGUUUCCAACUUUUACAUUUUUGUGGUAAUUUUUAACAUUAUAGGUAUAAUUAAAUUAUCACUAAAGUUAUAUCUAUUAAUCCUAAGUGGUUUAAAAUAAUUUCUCUGUUCAAACUGAUGCAGCUCGCUAUUACAAUUUAAUAUAAUUUUUUCAAACUAUAAUUGAUUUCUAAGACUAGUAAAAUUUUUGAGCUACCAUUAACCCCAAAAUAUCUGGAAAAAGAAAAUCAUCAUAGGUAACUCCUGAUGACUCCUACCUCUUUCAGUCACAUACUUAGCAUUAUCUGCUGUACAGGUUUAAAGAAUGUUGGUCACAGGAUUGAAGUGAAUAUUUCAUUUAUGUGUAGCCAAAAUAUUAUCAUAUGAAGCCCAAAAGAAGAGUAAAAUACAUCCUUGUGAUAUUAUUAACAUGACUUUGUGCCAGACAAAGCAUAGUUACUCUACAGAUGGAUUAUGAAUAGAGAAAAAGUGUGUAGUUGAAUUCUUUGGAAUUAUGGACUAUAUUCCAUAAAUCCCAGAUGGAGUCACUAUGAUUAAUGUUACCUCAAUGAAUACAAAAUGAAUAAAUAAUUAUCCUCCACUUACUGUAAAG
rnacentral:lncRNA from 1 species